AACGCUUCAGUCAAAUGAAUGUAUCUCUGCGGAUAACGCAUCUAUAUACAACUUUCAGCAACGGAUCUCUUGGCUCUCGCAUCGAUGAAGAACGCAGCGAAAUGCGAUAAGUAAUGUGAAUUGCAGAAUUCAGUGAAUCAUCGAAUCUUUGAACGCACCUUGCGCUCCUUGGUAUUCCGAGGAGCAUGCCUGUUUGAGUAUCAUGGAAUUCUCAACUCCCCAGUUUUCUUAAUCGGAAGCUGCGGUGAGCUUGGACUUGGAGGUUGUGUCGGUCUUUCUCUUCAAGACCGACUCCUCUGAAAUGCAUUAGCGUGAAUCUUAUGGAUCACCUUCAACGUGAUAAUUGUCUGCGUUGUGGUCGUGUGAAGUACUUGUGCAUUCAUGCUUACAGUCAGUCGUCUCUUCGAGAGACCACUCUUUGACUUCUGAUCUCAAAUCAGGUAGGACUACCCGCUGAACUUAAGCAUAUCAAUAAGCGGAGGA
rnacentral:rRNA from 1 species